rnacentral:rRNA from 1 species
ACUGCUAUCGGAUUGAUACUAAGCCAUGCGAGUCUUUGUAGCAAUACAAGGCAGACGGCUCAGUAACACGUAGUCAAUCUACCCUAUGGACGGGGAUAACCUCGGGAAACUGAGAAUAAUACCCGAUAGAUCAUUAUACCUGGAAUGGUUUAUGGUCGAAAUGAUUUAUCGCCGUAGGAUGGGACUGCGGUCUAUCAGCUUGUUGGUGAGGUAAUGGCCCACCAAGGCUAUAACAGAUACGGGCUCUGAGAGGAGAAGCCCGGAGAUGGGUACUGAGACACGGACCCAGGCCCUAUGGGGCGCAGCAGGCGAGAAAACUUUGCAAUGUGCGAAAGCACGACAAGGUUAAUCCGAGUGUUUUCUGCUAAAGAAAUCUUUUGUCAGUCCUAAAAACACUGAUGAAUAAGGGGUGGGCAAGUUCUGGUGUCAGCCGCCGCGGUAAAACCAGCACCUCAAGUGGUCAGGAGGAUUAUUGGGCCUAAAGCAUCCGUAGCCGGCCGUGUAAGUUUUCGGUUAAAUCUAUACGCUCAACGUAUAGGCUGCCGGGAAUACUGCACAGCUAGGGAGUGGGAGAGGUAGACGGUACUCGGUAGGAAGGGGUAAAAUCCUUUGAUCUAUUGAUGACCACCUGUGGCGAAGGCGGUCUACUAGAACACGUCCGACGGUGAGGGAUGAAAGCUGGGGGAGCAAACCGGAUUAGAUACCCGGGUAGUCCCAGCUGUAAACAAUGCAAACUCAGUGAUGCACUGGCUUGUGGCCAGUGCAGUGCCGCAGGGAAGCCGUUAAGUUUGCCGCCUGGGAAGUACGUACGCAAGUAUGAAACUUAAAGGAAUUUGGCGGGGGAGCACCACAAGGGGUGAAG